rnacentral:rRNA from 1 species
AGAGUUUGAUCAUGGCUCAGAACGUACGCUGGCGGCACGCCUAACACAUGCAAGUCGAACGAAGUAGCAAUACUUAGUGGCAGACGGGUGAGUAACAUGUAGGUAUCUGCCCUUUGGCCUGGAAUAACACGAGGAAACUUGUGCUAAUACCGGAUAAGUCUUUACGGAGAAAGCUUUAUGCACCAUUGGAUGAGCCUGCACUUGAUUAGUUUGUUGGUAGGGUAAUGGCCUACCAAGACUGUGAUCAAUAGCUGAUUUGAGAGGAUGAUCAGCCACAUUGGGACUGAGACACGGCCCAAACUCCUACGGGAGGCAGCAGUGGGGAAUCUUGCACAAUGGAGGAAACUCUGAUGCAGCGAUGCCGCGUGAGUGAAGAAGGCCCUUGGGUUGUAAAGCUCUUUCGUCGGGGAAGAAAAUGACUGUACCCGAAUAAGAAGGUCCGGCUAACUUCGUGCCAGCAGCCGCGGUAAUACGAAGGGACCUAGCGUAGUUCGGAAUUACUGGGCUUAAAGAGUUCGUAGGUGGUUAAAAAAGUUGGUGGUGAAAUCCCAGAGCUUAACUCUGGAACUGCCAUCAAAACUUUUUAGCUAGAGUAUGAUAGAGGAAAGCAGAAUUUCUAGUGUAGAGGUGAAAUUCGUAGAUAUUAGAAAGAAUACCAAUUGCGAAGGCAGCUUUCUGGAUCAUUACUGACACUGAGGAACGAAAGCAUGGGUAGCGAAGAGGAUUAGAUACCCUCGUAGUCCAUGCCGUAAACGAUGUGUGUUAGACGUUGGAAAUUUAUUUUCAGUGUCGCAGCGAAAGCGAUAAACACACCGCCUGGGGAGUACGACCGCAAGGUUAAAACUCAAAUGAAUUGACGGGGACCCGCACAAGUAGUGGAGCAUGUGGUUUAAUUCGAAGAUACGCGCAGAACCUUACCAACACUUGACAUGUUCGUCGCGACUUUAAGAGAUUAAAGUUUUCGGUUCGGCCGGACGAAACACAGGUGCUGCAUGGCUGUCGUCAGCUCGUGUCGUGAGAUGUUGGGUUAAGUCCCGCAACGAGCGCAACCCUCACUUUUAGUUGCCAUCAUUUAGUUGGGCACUCUGAAAGAACUGCCAGUGAUAAGCUGGAGGAAGGUGGGGAUGACGUCAAGUCCUCAUGGCCCUUACGUGUUGGGCUACACACGUGCUACAAUGGUAUCUACAACAGGAAGCAAGACUGCGAAGUUAAGCAAAUCCUUAAAAGAUACCUCAGUUCGGAUUGCACUCUGCAACUCGAGUGCAUGAAGCUGGAAUUACUAGUAAUCGUGGAUCAGCGUGCCACGGUGAAUGCGUUCCCGGGUCUUGUACACACCGCCCGUCACACCAUGGGAGUUGGUUCUACCUUAAGGCAAGGUUUCAAACCCUUGACCACGGUAUAGUCAGCGACUGGGGUGAAGUCGUAACAAGGUAACCGUA